GAUUAAGAUGAUAUAGGGCAGCAGGAGACAAGAGAAGACAAUUACACGCUCUAGCAUGCUGCAGGGAAGUGCGGGUGGAGGGAGGCAUCCGAAAGGAGGAGCUAAGAGAUGUAAAAGAAGAAAACAGGCAGGUGAAAAAAACAUUCAGAGUUACGCUGUGUUUUCUCCAUAAUUUAGGUUUCUCUUUGCACAUGAGAUUCAGUAGACCGAUCCUUAAGGAGCGUGAACUUAUUUUUUACGGUCAAAUUCACUUUCUACUUGUGAUCACGGAUUUUGAUUUGCGACGUUUUCUC
rnacentral:lncRNA from 1 species